CCUACGGGAGGCACCAGUGGGGAAUUUUCCGCAAUGGGCGAAAGCCUGACGGAGCAACGCCGCGUGAGGGAUGAAGGCCUCUGGGCUGUAAACCUCUUUUCUCAAGGAAGAAGAUCUGACGGUACUUGAGGAAUAAGCCACGGCUAAUUCCGUGCCAGCAGCCGCGGUAAUACGGGAGUGGCAAGCGUUAUCCGGAAUUAUUGGGCGUAAAGCGUCCGCAGGCGGUCCAGAAAGUCUGCUGUUAAAAAGUGGAGCUUAACUCCAUCAUGGCAGUGGAAACUACUGGACUAGAGUGUGGUAGGGGCAGAGGGAAUUCCCGGUGUAGCGGUGAAAUGCGUAGAUAUCGGGAAGAACACCAGUGGCGAAGGCGCUCUGCUGGGCCAUAACUGACGCUCAUGGACGAAAGCCAGGAGAGCGAAAGGGAUUAGAUACCCCAGUAGUC
rnacentral:rRNA from 1 species